CAACUACUCCCUCUGUCCCAAAUUUCUUGUCUUAGAUUUGUCUAGAUACGAAUGUAUCUAAUACUAAAAUGUGACUUGAUACAUCUGUAUCUAGAAAAAUCUAAGACAAGAAUUUUGGGAUGGAGGGAGUACUUU
rnacentral:pre_miRNA from 1 species